UUUGACCUGCAGCUCAGCAGGAUAGAGCAGCAGCCUCCUAAGCUGCAGGUCAGAGGUUCAAAUCCUCUAAGUCGCGU
rnacentral:tRNA from 1 species